rnacentral:rRNA from 1 species
GUGGGGAAUAUUGGACAAUGGGCGAAAGCCUGAUCCAGCCAUGCCGCGUGAGUGAUGAAGGCCUUAGGGUUGUAAAGCUCUUUCAGUAGGGAAGAUAAUGACGGUACCUACAGAAGAAGCCCCGGCUAACUUCGUGCCAGCAGCCGCGGUAAUACGAAGGGGGCUAGCGUUGUUCGGAUUUACUGGGCGUAAAGCGCACGUAGGCGGAUUGGUCAGUUAGAGGUGAAAUCCUGGAGCUCAACUCCAGAACUGCCUUUAAUACUGCCAGUCUAGAGUCCAGAAGAGGUGAGUGGAACUCCUAGUGUAGAGGUGGAAUUCGUAGAUAUUAGGAAGAACACCAGUGGCGAAGGCGGCUCACUGGUCUGGUACUGACGCUGAGGUGCGAAAGCGUGGGGAGCAAACAGGAUUAGAUACCCUUGUAGUCC